rnacentral:rRNA from 1 species
AUGAACGCUGGCGGCGUGCCUAAUACAUGCAAGUCGAGCGAACGGACGAGAAGCUUGCUUCUCUGAUGUUAGCGGCGGACGGGUGAGUAACACGUGGAUAACCUACCUAUAAGACUGGGAUAACUUCGGGAAACCGGAGCUAAUACCGGAUAAUAUUUUGAACCGCAUGGUUCAAAAGUGAAAGACGGUCUUGCUGUCACUUAUAGAUGGAUCCGCGCUGCAUUAGCUAGUUGGUAAGGUAACGGCUUACCAAGGCAACGAUGCAUAGCCGACCUGAGAGGAUGAUCGGCCACACUGGAACUGAGACACGGUCCAGACUCCUACGGGAGGCAGCAGUAGGGAAUCUUCCGCAAUGGGCGAAAGCCUGACGGAGCAACGCCGCGUGAGUGAUGAAGGUCUUCGGAUCGUAAAGCUCUGUUAUUAGGGAAGAACAUAUGUGUAAGUAACUGUGCACAUCUUGACGGUACCUAAUCAGAAAGCCACGGCUAACUACGUG